AACCUAUGGUGAGGGCACCUUCUUAAUAAAUCCUUAUACCUAUCCUAUACAUCAUAUAAGGUUUCUAAGUCAAUCUAAACGAAGGAAAAGAUAUCAUUCCUUAACUU
rfam:Gossypium raimondii chromosome 5, whole genome shotgun sequence.